rnacentral:lncRNA from 1 species
GAACCUGAGCGAACCCGCGGCUGUGCAGAAUCCUGGUGAGUCUAAGUCCAAGUGCACGAUUGCAUUGCCGGUUCACCGCCAUCAAAACGAACUGCAUUCGAACCAGCGAUUUGAGUAGCAGAACACAACCUCCGAUGAGCAACUAUGGGUAGGGAGAGGGCUAAGAGUUUGCGCGGAAGCUCGGACGACGCAACUCUCGUAUAAGCUGAACGCGCACCAACGGCUGGCAUGCAAGGCUUCGCAGAAACGCGUACGCAAGCUUUGGAGACGAUACAUGGCGCUGGCUUCUGCAUGGUAAGUCACACGCGCAAGUUAUUGUAUAAGGCCGCGGAAAGAACGCAUUUUGCACCAAA